AGAGUUUGAUCCUGGCUCAGAACGAGCGCUGGCGGCGUGCUUAAUACAUGCAAGUUGAACGAUGAGGCCCUUCGGGGUACAUCAGUGGCGCACGGGUGAGUAACACGUAAGCAAUCUGCCUUUCGGACCGGGAUAACGUUGCGAAAGCGACGCUAAUACGGGAUGACGCGACGAAGCCGCAUGGUUUUGUCGUUAAACGGAGGCUUCUCGCUUCCGCCGGGAGAUGAGCUUGCGGUCCAUUAGCUUGUUGGCGGGGUAACGGCCCACCAAGGCGAAGAUGGAUAGCCGGCCUGAGAGGGUGAACGGCUACACUGGAACUGAGACACGGUCCAGACUCCUACGGGAGGCAGCAGUAGGGAAUAUUGGGCAAUGGGCGCAAGCCUGACCCAGCAACGCCGCGUGAGCGAUGAAGCCUUUCGAGGUGUAAAGCUCUUUUUUGACAGACGAAGAUGGUCGGCACUAACACGGUCGGCGAUUGACGGUAUGUUGCGAAUAAGCCCCGGCUAACUCCGUGCCAGCAGCCGCGGUAAUACGGAGGGGGCGAGCGUUGUUCGGAAUUACUGGGCGUAAAGGGCGCGUAGGCGGCCGUAUAAGUCGAAUGUGUAAGCCCACGGCUCAACCGUGGAAUUGCGUUUGAAACUGUAUGGCUAGAGUGUGGGAGAGGAGAGUGGAAUUCCCAGUGUAGCGGUGAAAUGCGUAGAUAUUGGGAGGAACAUCGGUGGCGAAGGCGGCUCUCUGGAACACAACUGACGCUGAGGCGCGAAAGCGUGGGGAGCAAACAGGAUUAGAUACCCUGGUAGUCCACGCUGUAAACGAUGGGCACUAGGUGUAGCGGGUAUUGACUCCCGCUGUGCCGGAGUUAACGCAUUAAGUGCCCCGCCUGGGGAGUACGUACGCAAGUAUGAAACUCAAAGGAAUUGACGGGGGCCCGCACAAGCGGUGGAGCAUGUGGUUUAAUUCGACGCAACGCGAAGAACCUUACCUGGGUUUGACAUGCGAUGGACGUGCGAUGAAAGUCGUAUUCCUUUCGGGGCCGUCGCACAGGUGCUGCAUGGCUGUCGUCAGCUCGUGUUGUGAGAUGUUGGGUUAAGUCCCGCAACGAGCGCAACCCUUACCCUUAGUUGCCAGCGGGUAGAGCCGGGAACUCUAGGGGAACUGCCGGUGACAAACCGGAGGAAGGCGGGGAUGACGUCAAGUCCUCAUGGCCUUUAUGCCCAGGGCUACACACGUGCUACAAUGGUCGGUACAGAGGGUUGCGAUACCGCGAGGUGGAGCAAAUCCCACAAAACCGAUCUCAGUUCGGAUUGGAGUCUGCAACUCGACUCCAUGAAGUUGGAAUCGCUAGUAAUCGCGGAUCAGCAUGCCGCGGUGAAUACGUUCCCGGGCCUUGUACACACCGCCCGUCACACCACGAAAGUCGAUGGUACUAGAAGCCGGCGGGCCAACCCGCGAGGGGGGCAGUCGUCCAAGGUACGAUUGGUGAUUGGGGUGAAGUCAACAAGGUA
rnacentral:rRNA from 1 species